AACGAACGCUGGCGGCAGGCCUAACACAUGCAAGUCGAACGAACUAUUUAUAGUGAGUGGCGCACGGGUGCGUAACGCGUGGGAAUGUACAUCUCGGUAAGGAAUAACUGCUGGAAACGGUAGCUAAUACCUUAUAAUGACUCCGGUCCAAAGAUUUAUCGCCGAGGGAUCAGCCCGCGUCAGAUUAGAUUGUUGGUGAGGUAAAAGCUCACCAAGUCGACGAUCUGUAGCUGGUCUGAGAGGAUGAUCAGCCACACUGGUACUGAGACACGGACCAGACUCCUACGGGAGGCAGCAGUGAGGAAUAUUGGACAAUGGGGGAAACCCUGAUCCAGCCAUGCCGCGUGAGUGAAGAAGGCUCUAGGGUUGUAAAGCUCUUUCAGAUGCGAAGAUAAUGACGGUAACAUCAGAAGAAGCCCCGGCUAAAUUCG
rnacentral:rRNA from 1 species